UACGAAGGGGGCUAGCGUUGUUCGGAAUUACUGGGCGUAAAGCGCACGUAGGCGGAUCUUUAAGUCAGAGGUGAAAUCCCAAGGCUCAACCUUGGAACUGCCUUUGAUACUGGGGAUCUUGAGUCCGGAAGAGGUGAGUGGAACUGCGGGUGUAGAGGUGAAAUUCGUAGAUAUUCGCAAGAACACCAGUGGCGAAGGCGGCUCACUGGUCCGGUACUGACGCUGAGGUGCGAAAGCGUGGGGAGCAAACAGG
rnacentral:rRNA from 1 species